GACGAACGCUGGCGGCGGGCUUAACACAUGCAAGUCGAACGGAAAGGCCCUGCUUUUGUGGGGUGCUCGAGUGGCGAACGGGUGUGUAACAUGUGAGUAACCUUCCCUUGACUGUGUGAUAACUUCAGGAAACUGGUGCUAAUACCGGAUAGGAGCUCCUGCUGCAUGGUGGGGUUUGGAAAGUUUCGGCGGAUGGGGAUGGACUCGCGGCUUAUCAGCUUGUGGGUGGGGUAGUGGCUUACCAAGGCUUCGACGGGUAGCCGGCCUGAGAGGGUGGCCGGCGACAUUGGGACUAAGAUACGGAGCAGACUCGUACGGGAGGCAGCAGUCGGAAAUAUUGCCCAGUGGGCGGAAGCCUGAUGCAGAGGCGCCGCGUGCGGGAUGACGGCCUUCGGGUUGUAAACCGCUUUCGCCUGUGACGAAGCGGGAGUGACGGUAAUGGGUGAAGAAGCACCGGCUAACUACGUG
rnacentral:rRNA from 1 species